rnacentral:rRNA from 1 species
ACGUACUUACGGCUUUGUAUUGGAUGAGUUAAGUAUAAACCCCUUAACAAGUAUCAAUUGGAGGGCAAGUCUGGUGCCAGCAGCCGCGGUAAUUCCAGCUCCAAUAGCGUAUAUUAAAGUUGUUGCAGUUAAAAAGCUCGUAGUUAAUCUUCUGUUAAUUUUUAUAUAUAAUAUCUCGAUAUUUAUAUAAUAUUAACAUAAUUCAUAUUACUUUUUAGUAUAUGAAACUUUACUUUGAGAAAAUUAGAGUGCUUAAAGCAGGCUAUUGCCUUGAAUACUCCAGCAUGGAAUAAUAUUAAGGAUUUUUAUUCUUCUUAUUGGUUCUAGAAUAAAAAUGAUGAUUAAUAGGAACAGUUGGGGGCAUUUGUAUUUAACAGUCAGAGGUGAAAUUCUUAGAUUUGUUAAAGACAAACUACUGCGAAAGCAUUUGCCAAGGAUGUUUUCAUUAAUCAAGAACGAAAGUUAGGGGAUCGAAGACGAUCAAGAUACCGUCGUAGUCUUAACCAUAAACUAUGCCAACUAGAGAUUGGAGGUUUUUUUCCCCCCCCUUUUAAGCCCCCAAAAAAACAAAAAAAAAAAAUUUCUUUUAAAAAGGUGGGCCGAGACUUCAAUUUAAAAAAUGCUGGGACAGUACAAACCGCUGAAAGAAAGUAAAAAGUGAAGAUAUCGG